rnacentral:misc_RNA from 1 species
AAGUCGUAGCAAGAUUUCCGUAGGCGAACCUGCGGAAGGAUCAUACACAAUGAGUGUUUAAUGGCACUUCAAAUCCAUUACCCACCUUGUGUGCAUUGUCGGGAGGACUCUUAAUAUCAAACUUCUCUCUCACUCUUUCUUUUUCCACUCUCUUUGAGGGGGAGAGGGAGAGGGAGGGAGGGGAGAGGGAAAGAGGGAACUCCUUUUCAUUCAUACUCUGUUCUUCAGUAUCUGUCUACUUCAAUUGAGUAUAAAACUCGAAUACAACUUUCAGCAACGGAUCUCUUGGCUCUC